GACGAGGUGGACAAACGUUAUUCGGAUUUACUGGGCUUAAAGCGUGCGUAGGCGGCUCAGAAAGUUGGGUGUGAAAGCCCUCGGCUCAACCGAGGAAUUGCGCUCAAAACUACUGAGCUUGAGGGAGAUAGGGGAGAGCGGAACUGAUGGUGGAGCGGUGAAAUGCGUUGAUAUCAUCAGGAACACCGGUGGCGAAGGCGGCUCUCUGGAUCUCUUCUGACGCUGAGGCACGAAAGCUAGGGGAGCAAACGGG
rnacentral:rRNA from 1 species